AACGAACGCUGGCGGCAGGCUUAACACAUGCAAGUCGAACGAGAUCUUCGGAUCUAGUGGCAGACGGGUGAGGAACACGUGGGAACAUCCCUUUCAGUUCGGAAUAACGUUGGGAAACUAACGCUAAUACCUCAUACGUCCUACGGGAGAAAGCAGGGGAUCUUCGGACCUUGCGCUAAUAGAUGAGCCUAAGUCGAAUUAGCUAGUUGGUGGGGUAAAGGCCUACCAAGGCGACGAUCUGUAGCGGGUCUGAGAGGAUGAUCCGCAACACUGGGACUGAGACACGGCCCAGACUCCUACGGGAGGCAGCAGUGGGGAAUAUUGGACAAUGGGGGGAACCCUGAUCCAGCCAUGCCGCGUGUGUGAAGAAGGCCUUAUGGUUGUAAAGCACUUUAAGCGAGGAGGAGGCUACUGAGACUAAUACUCUUGGAUAGUGGACGUUACUCGCAGAAUAAGCACCGGCUAACUCUGUGCCAGCCGCCGCCGUAA
rnacentral:rRNA from 1 species